CCUACGGGGGGCUGCAGUGAGGAAUAUUGGUCAAUGGACGAGAGUCUGAACCAGCCAAGUAGCGUGAAGGAUGACUGCCCUCUGGGUUGUAAACUUCUUUUAUAUGGGAAUAAAAUGUUCCACGUGUGGGAUUUUGUAUGUACCAUAUGAAUAAGGAUCGGCUAACUCCGUGCCAGCAGCCGCGGUAAUACGGAGGAUCCGAGCGUUAUCCGGAUUUAUUGGGUUUAAAGGGAGCGUAGGUGGAUUGUUAAGGCAGUUGUGAAAGUUUGCGGCUCAACCGUAAAAUUGCAGUUGAAACUGGCAGUCGUGAGUACAGUAGAGGUGGGCGGAAUUCGUGGUGUAGCGGUGAAAUGCUUAGAUAUCACGAAGAACUCCGAUUGCGAAGGCAGCUCACUGGACUGCAACUGACACUGAGGCUCGAAAGUGUGGGUAUCAAACAGGAUUAGAUACCCUUGUAGUC
rnacentral:rRNA from 1 species